rnacentral:rRNA from 1 species
CCUACGGGCGACAGCAGUGAGGAAUAUUGCACAAUGGGGGGAACCCUGAUGCAGCGACGCCGCGUGAGUGAAGAAGUCUUUCUGUAUGUAAAGCUCUAUCAGCAGGGAAGAAAAUGACGGUACCUGACUAAGACUCCCCGGCUAACUCCGUGCCAGCAGCCGCGGUAAUACGUAGGGGGCAAGCGUUAUCCGGAUUUACUGGGUGUAAAGGGAGCGCAGACGGUUGUGCAAGUCUGGAGUGAAAGGCGGGGGCCCAACCCCCGGACUGCUCUGGAAACUGUAAAGCUGGAGUGCAGGAGAGGUAAGCGGAAUGCCUAGUGUAGCGGUGAAAUGCGUAGAUAUUAGGAGGAACACCAGUGGCGAAGGCGGCUUACUGGACUGCAACUGACGUUGAGGCUCGAAAGCGUGGGGAGCAAACAGGAUUAGAUACCCCUGUAGUC